CCAUAUCGUCGACGUCGCAGUGCACGGGAAGCCGGUGGAAGUCCGGCGCGGUCCUCGCCACUGUGACCGGAGUGCGCCUCCCGCACGCCACUGGGCCGGACACGGCUUGGGAAGGGUGGGGGCGCGGGGCCAGAGCCCGACUCCGGGAGCCAGGAGACCGGCUGCGACCGUCCGCGUCAU
rnacentral:ncRNA from 2 species